rnacentral:rRNA from 1 species
GAGUUUGAUCUUGGCUCAGGAUGAACGCUGGCGGCGUGCCUAAUACAUGCAAGUCGAGCGAACGGACGAGAAGCUUGCUUCUCUGAUGUUAGCGGCGGACGGGUGAGUAACACGUGGAUAACCUACCUAUAAGACUGGGAUAACUUCGGGAAACCGGAGCUAAUACCGGAUAAUAUUUUGAACCGCAUGGUUCAAAAGUAAAAGACGGUCUUGCUGUCACUUAUAGAUGGAUCCGCGCUGCAUUAGCUAGUUGGUAAGGUAACGGCUUACCAAGGCAACGAUGCAUAGCCGACCUGAGAGGGUGAUCGGCCACACUGGAACUGAGACACGGUCCAGACUCCUACGGGAGGCAGCAGUAGGGAAUCUUCCGCAAUGGGCGAAAGCCUGACGGAGCAACGCCGCGUGAGUGAUGAAGGUCUUCGGAUCGUAAAACUCUGUUAUUAGGGAAGAACAUAUGUGUAAGUAACUGUGCACAUCUUGACGGUACCUAAUCAGAAAGCCACGGCUAACUACGUGA